rnacentral:lncRNA from 1 species
UCCUUUCACACCGUGACCCCUCAGCGGUCGUGUGAUUGUGCUUUGACCCCUCAAUGGUCUCCUUUAUCCUUUUGCACCCCGACCCCUCAGCGGUCGCGUGAUUGUGCUUUGACCCCUCAGUGGUCUCUGUAUCCUUUUGCAUCCCGGACGCCUCAGCGGUCGCGUGAUUGUGCUUUGACCCCUCAGUAGUCUCCGUAUCCUUUUGCACCCCGACCCCUCAGCGGUUGCGUGAUUGUGCUUUGACCCCUCAGUGGUCUCUGUGAUCCUUUUGUACCCCGACCCCUCAGCGGUCGCGUGAU